GACGAACGCUGGCGGCGUGCUUAACACAUGCAAGUCGAACGGAAAGGCCCUGCCUUUGUGGGGUGCUCGAGUGGCGAACGGGUGAGUAACACGUGAGUAACCUGCCCUUGACUCUGGGAUAACUUCAGGAAACUGGGGCUAAUACCGGAUAGGAGCUCCUGCUGCAUGGUGGGGGUUGGAAAGUUUCGGCGGUUGGGGAUGGACUCGCGGCUUAUCAGCUUGUUGGUGGGGUAGUGGCUUACCAAGGCUUUGACGGGUAGCCGGCCUGAGAGGGUGACCGGCCACAUUGGGACUGAGAUACGGCCCAGACUCCUACGGGAGGCAGCAGUGGGGAAUAUUGCACAAUGGGCGGAAGCCUGAUGCAGCAACGCCGCGUGCGGGAUGACGGCCUUCGGGUUGUAAACCGCUUUCGCCUGGGACGAAGCGAGAGUGACGGUAAUGGGUGAAGAAGCGCCGGCUAACUACGUG
rnacentral:rRNA from 1 species